rnacentral:rRNA from 1 species
GACGAACGCUGGCGGCGUGCUUAACACAUGCAAGUCGAACGGAAAGGCCCUGCUUUUGUGGGGUGCUCGAGUGGCGAACGGGUGAGUAACACGUGAGUAACCUGCCCUUGACUUUGGGAUAACUUCAGGAAACUGGGGCUAAUACCGGAUAGGAGCUCCUGCUGCAUGGUGGGGGUUGGAAAGUUUCGGCGGUUGGGGAUGGACUCGCGGCUUAUCAGCUUGUUGGUGGGGUAGUGGCUUACCAAGGCUUUGACGGGUAGCCGGCCUGAGAGGGUGACCGGCCACAUGGGGACUGAGAUACGGCCCAGACUCCUACGGGAGGCAGCAGUGGGGAAUAUUGCACAAUGGGCGGAAGCCUGAUGCAGCAACGCCGCGUGCGGGAUGACGGCCUUCGGGUUGUAAACCGCUUUCGCCUGUGACGAAGCGUGGGUGACGGUAAUGGGUAAGAAGCACCGGCUAACUACGUG